UACGGGGGGAGCAAGCGUUGUUCGGAUUUACUGGGCGUAAAGGGUGCGUAGGCGGGUCUUUAAGUCAGGGGUGAAAUCCUGGAGCUCAACUCCAGAACUGCCUUUGAUACUGAAAGUCUUGAGUAUGGGAGAGGUGAGUGGAACUGCGAGUGUAGAGGUGAAAUUCGUAGAUAUUCGCAAGAACACCAGUGGCGAAGGCGGCUCACUGGCCCAUAACUGACGCUGAGGCACGAAAGCGUGGGGAGCAAACAGG
rnacentral:rRNA from 1 species